rnacentral:rRNA from 1 species
UACGAAGGGGGCUAGCGUUGCUCGGAAUGACUGGGCGUAAAGGGCGCGUAGGCGGCUUACAUAGUUAGGCGUGAAAUUCCUGGGCUCAACCUGGGGACUGCGUCUAAUACAUGUAGGCUUGAGUGUGAAAGAGGGUCGUUGAAUUUCCAGUGUAGGGGUGAAAUUCGUAAAUAUUGGAAAGAACACCGGUGGCGAAGGCGGCGACCUGGUCCUUGACUGACGCUGGGGCGCGAAAGCGUGGGGAGCAAACAGG